GCUACCAUGGCUCAGUCGGUAGAGCGUCUCAUUCGUAAUGAGAAGGUCGCCGGUUCGAUUCCGGCUGGUAGCU
rnacentral:tRNA from 1 species